rnacentral:rRNA from 1 species
UCCAGACUCCUACGGGAGGCAGCAGUGGGGAAUAUUGCGCAAUGGGGGAAACCCUGAUGCAGCGACGCCGCGUGAGCGAUGAAGUAUUUCGGUAUGUAAAGCUCUAUCAGCAGGGAAGAAGAUGACGGUACCUGACUAAGAAGCCCCGGCUAACUACGUGCCAGCAGCCGCGGUAAUACGGAGGAUGCGAGCGUUAUCCGGAUUUAUUGGGUUUAAAGGGUGCGUAGGCGGGCUUUUAAGUCAGCGGUAAAAAGUCGGGGCUCAACCCCGUCCGGCCGUUGAAACUGGGGGCCUUGAGUGGGCGAGAAGAAGGCGGAAUGCGUGGUGUAGCGGUGAAAUGCAUAGAUAUCACGCAGAACUCCGAUUGCGAAGGCAGCAUACCGGCGCCCUACUGACGCUGAGGCACGAAAGCGUGGGUAUCGAACAGGAUUAGAUACCCCAGUAC